UGAUGGUCAUGCUAAUGAUUGACUAAUCUAAUCAUCUUGUGGAUAUGAUAUGGUAGUUUGACUCUGACAAGCUAGGUAGGAGCUUGGAAAUGAACGGGUCAAAUGGAUACAAGUUCAAGUAUGAAGCUCGCAAGGAUGCAAGGUACAUUUUGAUGCCGGAAGACGAUCAAGCUCAACGAAGAACCGAAGACGAUAAAGAUACAUGCUUUCGCAAGUUGUCGCCGUUUUACAUUUCAAACGAAGAAUUUAAUUACACUAAGUUGUUCUACUUUCAAGUCUAGAAAAGUUUUAAUAAACCCGUAUUUGAGCAAGAAUGUUUAAAUCUAAAUACUCAUUUAAUUUGUAAUUAUAA